CAAAUUUGUAUGUAGUUCGAACAGCGCCCUUAGCGGCAAACGAAGGCAAACGUUCCAACUCCAUACAAGUUUGAGUUA
rnacentral:pre_miRNA from 1 species